UACGGGGGGAGCAAGCGUUGUUCGGAUUUACUGGGCGUAAAGGGCGCGUAGGCGGUCAGCACAAGUCAGUUGUGAAAUCUCCGGGCUUAACUCGGAAAGGUCAACUGAUACUGUGCGACUAGAGUGCGGAAGGGGCAACUGGAAUUCUCGGUGUAGCGGUGAAAUGCGCAGAUAUCAGGAGGAACACCGGUGGCGAAGGCGGGUCUCUGGGCCGAAACUGACGCUGAGGAGCGAAAGCGUGGGGAGCGAACAGG
rnacentral:rRNA from 1 species